AUUGAACGCUGGCGGCAGGCCUAACACAUGCAAGUCGAGCGGAUGAAGGGAGCUUGCUCCUGGAUUCAGCGGCGGACGGGUGAGUAAUGCCUAGGAAUCUGCCUGGUAGUGGGGGAUAACGUCCGUAAACGGGCGCUAAUACCGCAUACGUCCUGAGGGAGAAAGUGGGGGAUCUUCGGACCUCACGCUAUCAGAUGAGCCUAGGUCGGAUUAGCUAGUUGGUGGGGUAAAGGCCUACCAAGGCGACGAUCCGUAACUGGUCUGAGAGGAUGAUCAGUCACACUGGAACUGAGACACGGUCCAGACUCCUACGGGAGGCAGCAGUGGGGAAUAUUGGACAAUGGGCGAAAGCCUGAUCCAGCCAUGCCGCGUGUGUGAAGAAGGUCUUCGGAUUGUAAAGCACUUUAAGUUGGGAGGAAGGGCAGUAAGUUAAUACCUUGCUGUCUUGACGUUACCAACAGAAUAAGCACCGGCUAACUUCGUG
rnacentral:rRNA from 1 species